AUACUCACUUCAGCAGCACCUACACUAAAAUUGGGAUGAUACACAGAAGGCUGGCAUGGCUACUGGCAAGGAUGACAUGCAAAGGUGUGCAGCAUUGCCUAUUUUU
ensembl:snRNA U6 U6 spliceosomal RNA